rnacentral:lncRNA from 1 species
AUGAUGAAACAUUUGUUUUGGCAGACUGAUAAGCAGGCUCAAGAAGGCAAAAGUUUAGCCAGGCAUGGCUUUGCAGGAAAGGAGAGCAGAAGCUUGUCUAGGUCUGUAACAAAUUGCUUUGAUGAAAAAAAAUAUAUAAGAUACUUAUUGGGUUACUGGCUGAGCUGUUACCUUAAGGCACCAUAAGCUAUAGCAAUUCUCAAGAAUCAUGGAGUGGUUGGAGGUAUUGCUUCACAUUUCUGAAAUGAAUUUACAUGUUUCUGAGGAGAGUUGCAAUUGUUCAGUUGCACAGCUAGGCUUCUAAUAGCCAAGCUACUGAUUCAGUGACCCAAGGGGAAUGUGGAAGGUAUUGUUUCUGGCUUUCUCACAAAGUAUCUACCGUAAGUAUGAUCUCCUUCAACUAUUAACAAAGAAGAGUUUUCACAACAGGUAACUGUUGGGGCUAGAUUUACAAGGUGAUCUUUCAUGUUUCAACUCAUCUACCUUGGUCUAAUGCUCUAAAACAAAAUGAAGGCUUAUGAUGAUACUAACUGUGGUUUCCUUCCAAUAUUCUUCUCAGACUCUCCUCCAAAUAAUGUAAAUAUUUCUAUGUGCCCCAGAAAGGCCUGUCCGCAACCAUCACUAUUGUUGGUGACGUACUGUACGUCUCCUUUAAAAUCAAAGUACUGUACUAUCUGCGAAUAGCAUGUGGUUUGACAUGUUCUCCAGCAGUAUGUAAAACUGUGGGAACCACAGGUGCUCUUGGCAUGGCUUUUCCAUCCCAAUAGCUGCUGGGCGUGAGGCAGCUGAGAUUUCAGUGGCUCUAGGAGCCUCAAGGAGGAAGCACUUAUAAUGGAGAUUGUUUCAUAAUGCAGCUGCCAAGAUUAGAGAGCAACAACCAAGUGACUACAAGGAAAGAUUUAUAGGUAAUGACACUUGUUCUUAAUGCUGAACAAGGAGCUACAGUGCAGCAAGGGAAAAGCUUUCAAACAUAAAUCUGAGUUAAAUCUCUUCUUCACUGUAAAGUGUCUUUCUGGGUUCUUCCUGGUCUUCUUUGGCUCAGCACAGCUUUAAAGCCGCAACUGUCACACCAGAAGCAAUAGUGUGUAUGUUUGUAUGUGUAGCGUCUUCUGAGGGCACGAUUCUAUCCUGGGCCACGGAAAUGCUAGCAAUGAUGUGUUCUGAAGGGCACUUCAGUUAACCUCUUCCCUCCAAGUGGAUCAAAGCAAAAUGAUAUAGUUUCACAAACAUGAAUUCCUAACACUCUGUAACUAUUCAGCAGUUCUACCUUACCCAGCAAUUUCUGUUCGAUUUUUUCUCCUGCCACUUGAGAUUUCAUCAGCUGGUGUGUUCCACUAUAAAUAAUUAGUGUGGGGAAAUACGCACUCUGAGGUAUUAAUAGAUGUUGCUUCUCAGAGAGCAAAAUGCACCCAUGGAUUAUCCAUUGAGGCUCACUGCCAGUUCUAACAGAACAACCUUUUGCCAGGUGGCCUAUUGACUACAGAGAAGUGACUAUUAACCUAUUGCUGUGCCAGCCUCCAAAGGUGGUACCUAUACCUGAGUGAUGGCAGUAGGUGGAAGCAACAGAAGGAAAUAUGCAAGAGAAGAGACAUAUUUGCUAGAUUUGCUACUCCAGUUAUUCUAGUUGUUAAUGCGGAAAGGGGGGAGACCUGUCUGCAAAUGAAGUACUCAGAACCCACAGUCAAUUCAUUUUUCCAUUGGUGAAAUAUUAAAACAAGAGAGAAAUCUAUAAUUUCAAGGCUCACAUUAAUAAAUAAUUCUUGGUUUACUACA